GCUUACACAGUACAUUUAAGACAUUUAUUUUUAAAAUAACCCCAUCUUCUCCACCUCAUCUCUGAAAAACACCUUGAGUUAGGUCAAGAAAAUUCAGUUGAUUUUUAAAAAAAAAGUCCCUGUGAGGCCAGUUGUCAUCUUACCAGACAUUUUGUGGCCAGUAUCAUAGUGCUAGAAGACAUUAGCCCAAUUUUAGUUGAUGGCAACUUACCACUGAGCCUUGGCACUACCAUGGUGAAUGAGCUUCUUCAGGGCCUUCAGUAUUUAAGAACUGCAUUUUAAAAUGUUGUUCCCUUAGCCAACACUGAAAACCAAGCCAAAGUGUGAAGUUGUCACAUUUAAAGUUUCUGUGGUUUGAAACUUUACUGUUUCUACUUACAUUUUGUAUUAUGGGUUAGUUAGAGUCUGCUAUCUUGGUUCCAUCCUUAUUCCAUAUGUGAUAUAAUUUGCUUAAAUGGACUGCUUUUACACCUGAGUAAGUGUGACAGAAACUGGUCUUAUAUGGUCAGGAAAUAUCUAACACAGAUGAAGACUUUCAAACCUGCACAAAUAUUUUAAAUAUGACCAUAGGUCUUAAAUGAAACCAGAAGAGAAAAUGUAUGCUUUGAAGAUACAGUUAAAGAUGAUGAUGUGGAAGAGAACGGAGUGUUUUAAAUUGUUAAGAACCAAAUAAUUUUCUUUAAAAAGUGAUAAAAUGUUCAGACUGGAGAAAGUAGAAAUGGCAGGCCACAUCAUAGUUGUUUCUGUUUUUAGGGCUUUAAGUCUCCCACCACUAUCAUCAUAUGGGGAUAUUUGCCAUGCUCUAAGAGCUUCCAAAAUUAAAUAUUAUUAACUCUGACUAUUCUAUUUAAUGAAAAUAAGAAAAAGAAAACAUAAUAAACCGUGGGGUCUGUAAUUAUAAUCUCGCAUAUGUCUUCCUGAGAAGAACAUUUCACAGAAAUUAUGCUUUUGAGAGUGGUCCAGGCUCUCCUAGAGCUGGGCACACUCUUCCCUAUAUAAGUCAAGAGCAAAGUAUGUUAUUUUAAAUAAUAAUGAGUCCUAUUUAGUGUAUUAUAGAUAAUGAAAACAUAAUAAGUGGGCAAAGAAAUUUGUUUUAAGUAGGUGAGUUCCAUUUAGUGUAUUAUAGAUAACACACUUUUGUGUUAGCAUGUGACUUCUCUCCAAGAAUAUGUGGCCUAAACCCUUUUAACAUUUAACAAGAUAAGCUGCUACUAUCUUAAAGUACAAUAUUGUUUCAAUAUCCCAUUAAAAUCAUUACAAGACUAAUUAUAAUUCUUUGGCAGUGCUGUGGCAAAAUCUCCCUUACCCUUGAUGUCAAAGUUGUGCUGAUGUAAUUUUGUGCCAGAAGCGGUGCUAUGGAAAAAGAUUGAUGCUUCUUGUUUCCAUAUAGUGCCAUCUUUUUUUUUUUUUUGGCUUCUUGCUGCUGCUUGCUUACUUGCAAGAAAUGAGAGAAAAAUAUUGACACAAGGAAGCCAUUGAAACUGAGAGAAAGUAGCAGUGUGUGCUGCUAGCUUCAGUCACAGAGUUUUAUACUUACCUGCUUUCAGUGUUUCACUGGAGAUACAAGGCACCCCUCUUUUAAAGCUUGUCUAAAUAGCAUAGAGCUUAUUUAAAUAUUAGCUGCUGUCACUUUAAUUCACUCAACACCAUGGAUGGUCCUGGUUACAUCCUCAGGUCACAUGGCAACAGGAUAGUAACUGUCUGUGCUUGGGGCCCAAAAUCUCAGAAUAUUUUUUGAGUUUAGAGUUUGAAUAAUCUCUUAUCCUAAGUCCAUUUUCUUUAAUUCUAUUAGGAAUGAAUAGAAAAUGAAAUUGUGGUUCAGAGAUGCUUACAUUUUAUACAAAAAUAAUUUAGCUUUAACAUGUAUUCUGUUUAAAUUGAUAUGAUUUUCAAAGAGAGUGAUUAGCUCAGACCUGCACUGCUGCAGCUUCCUUAGCCUGACGAAGGGUUUUUGAACCCAAAAGCUGUUGGCUACAAAUGUCCAACUCGGGAUCCUUAAAAUUCUAGUUUAUUAGGCAGAUUAAAACACUGUAAUCAUAAACCUUGGGGCUGGUCCACACACACAUGCACACACAUACACACACACACAGUAGCAGGCUACAGAGUCAGGUAUACCUAUCCUACAAGUGCUGGAGUCUGUCGUUGAGGCUUCUUUCAGUGUGGUGUUAUCUUCCAGAAGGGGGUCGCCGGCUGGUCCUUCUGGCUGGACAGGCCUGGUCGAGUUGGAGAUCAAGAGGGCGCCACUGAGGGUCACUUUUCACUGCCUUUUAUCUGUCCCUGGCAGACUUUGGUGACUCCCCAGGUGUCUGGUUUGCCCAAUCCAGGGGUCAUUGACCCUCGUGGGACUUCCCCCCCCUCGGUGGCUAUUGGACAGCAUCUGUCAGCCCCAGGGGUCGUCCGCAGGUACGUGCAGGUUUGGGAGUCCGUUGAUGAAUUUAGAAUAGGGCUCUGGGAGUGGUCGAUCUGGAGAUAUUCGGCCCAAAAGUUGGUCUCUGGUGUUGAUUAACUCAGGCCAGGGCUUCUAGCCCUUGAUCAGUGAGGUUUAGAGAUUUCCCGGUUGUUACAUUGUCUUCUAUUGAGUUCAGCUUCCAGGUGAGGAGUAUAAAAUAUAAGCUACAAAUGCCAUGGCACACAAAUAGAUAAAAAUACCAAACUACAAGGGGAGAUACAAAAUGCACACAUACAAAUUUUAAAAUACAAUUCCUUAUCUUAAAGUGAAAGAGAGAGGAAGGAAGAAAAGGUAGGAAAAAGAGAAACAUAUCCAAAGAGGGGAGAGCAAAUGCAGGCAAGAGGAAAAGGGGGCUUUCUGCUACAUUAGAGGAAAAGGGGGCUUUCUGCUACAAAGCUUGCUUAAUAACUAUUCUUCAACCAUUCGGGUUGGUCUAAUAAAAGAUAUCAAAUUCACCCAAGGAACCUUGUCUGCCUAUAUCCUUAGACCAACAUGGCUACAACCUAAACCCCUAUCUCACAUGGCACAUUCCAGUAGAGAUGCAUGUGUCAAAAGCACAUAAGCUCAGAGACGUUUUUGCUCUAGCAGUACCCACAGAGUUUACGAACAACCUGCCUCUCAUGCUCUAGUCAGAGGGCAUAAAAGGUAUCUUCCUGUUCUCAACCACCUUACUUUGCUAUAAUGGUUCUGCUGUCUGUCCCAGAGUGUUUGGCCUACAGCCCAGUGGCAAUGCAUAGGGAGUGCACAUGCACCCCCUGAGAGCACCAGUGCACCCCCUGUCAGCCAGCAUUCCCGGGCAAGGGAGGCAGGCAAGAGCGCUGGUGUUCCCCCCUCCCCCCGAGAGCGCCAGCCAGGGAGUGCGCCAGGAGACAUGAUCUUCCUCUGAUGACUGUGGACAAGAGACAGACAGACACACAACGCAGGUCUGAUUUCUAUACCUUCUUCACACAUUGAUAGGAACCCUACAACUCUCCCUCUACAUCUGUCUUAUCUCAGAGCAGAAAGAGAAUACUUCGCCCAGACCUGCGUGCCCUUGAUCUCAUAGCUUGGAUGCCGGGCAACUCUUGGCAGUAGAGUGGAUCUGCUCUUCUCCUCCAAGAGACAUUCUCAUCCAGACCUAGACAGACCUACCUGGCCAAAUAGGCUAGGUUUCUGGCCCAAUAUUAUGUGAAGUUUCUCUCCCCUUUUGUGGUUUCUGUUCCAACUAUCCUAGACCUACUGCUGGAGCUAAAGCAUGUUGGUCUAUCCCUGAGGUUGCUUCAGCUACUUCUAGUUGCCAUUUUAGUCCCAUGGAAGUCUGGAUUCUCCCACUUAGCAAGUCUCAGUUAAAUCCACAGGUAUAUGGCUGAGUUAUUUCUUCCUCUAAGAGACUGAGUCCCUAGUCAUCACAGCCCUGAUGGUCACAUGAUAGGUAACUUGCUCUUUAUUCCAUCUGUCUAUGAAGUUGGCAUUUUUCACAACCAUUACCACAGCAAAAGGGGUGGACGUGAGAUUCAUUGUAAUACUGUCUUUUACCUAGACUAACUAGGUCUCCUUGUAGACUCAUCUUAAAUUCAUAUCCAGUAUUCUCACUAAAUUUCACCUUUGUCAAGAAAUUUGUCUAUUUCACAAAGUCUGUCUCAUCAAGAGCUAAGGCAUGAUUACGUACACCAGCCAUAAAAAGAGUCUUAUCCCUUUACCUGUAUAGGAUUAAGUCUUUUGGAAAAUGACAUUAACUAUUUUUUCCAUAGCCAAAAGAUAAAAAGGCACAAUAAUUUCUGUCUAGAGACUAAUUGGAUUUCAGACUGUAAAAAUGUGCUAUGCGGUCACUAAGGUGGAAUUCAGUGGUCAGAGCUCGCUCCUCUAGGUCUCAACCAACCUUAGUAUCUUUCUUGCAGAAUGUCUUGAUUUCUGAUAUCUGCAAGACAGCUACCUUGGACCUCUCCACAUACACCUCACUAAAUGCUAAGCCGUUGCGGAGGUUUACCAAGCAGAUACUAUAUUUAGUAAUAUAGUUCUGCUGAUCACCUGGGAUUUCAAGAUUCACCUCCUAGUGAUCAAGGCACUUCCUUGGAGUGACCCACAGCGCACUGUGAUAUGGACAAUUUCUCAAAAGAGAAAGAGAAAUUAAUUAUCAGUGACUUGCGUGUUGUCCUUGUGCAUGUCCUACAUCCUGCCCUUCUUCCCCUUUUCCUCUUAGUCUUUGGUAUUCUGGGAUUCUGUGGGUGAGAGGAAACAGGAGCAGGAAGUACGCAAUGCCCUUUAUACUCUCAGUAUGAAGUAUGAGAGGCAAUGUACGUGUGCAUGUACAGAUACUACUAGGACAGAAAUCACCAAGGAAAAAUCCUUGAGGCACAUAUGCACAUACAGUAGAAUGUGCAUGCAGAUAACACAUCUUGAAGAAAUCAUGUUACUGGUAAAAAAAAAUCUGUUCUUUCUGAAGAGAAAAGCAGAUGGGAAUCAGGAGAAAAGAGGCUCUGGUCUCAGCUUGCUGUGGCCCUCACAAAUCAGGUGCUGUAGGUGCUUCUUUCUUUGAGAACCUAGGAAAAAAUAUGUUCACAUUCCUUAACAAAAAGAAAACAAAACUGGAUCUUUGAGAAAACCCUCCUCUUAGAUAUUCCCUUUUAGCUAGGAAGAUUGCAGUCUAUAGCAGCUCCACCAGCAAUUCAUGCUUAAAAUCUCCUGUCAGAUUCUCUAUACAGAACCUAAAAUAAUAAGUACCAAUGUUCAGAUGUUUAAUUCUGAUACCACAUAAAUUAAUCAUAGAGAACAUUACAAUGAACCAGAAGCUAUAAAACUGUAGAGUCUACAAUUGGGACAUAGAAGUGAUAAGUACAGAUUUAUGGGAGAGGGAGAUGUACUCUCUUCGAGGCUUCUUGUUCCUGUCCUUUAAUAAGAGAAAGCAGAGAUUUCCCAGGAGUUUGUUUAAUUAACCUGAACACUGUAAUUGAGCAGCUAGAAACAAGUAUAAACUAUUAUGCUCUAAAUGCCACAUAUUAGACCCAUAUCUGUUAGUAUUUCUUAAAAUACAAAAUGGGCACAACAAGUUUGUAUCAGUCUAAGAAUAGUGAAAACAGUUUAAUGAAUGAUCAUGUUUUCAUUAGUAUUGAGUUUUACACCCUACUUCACACAAGUUUAGCUCAUUAGGAAAUUAUUACUUCCUAUAUAGUGUGGUCUCAACUGUAACAGAAACUCAACCUCCUGGCCCAAAAUCGCAUUUUAAAUAGGAACAUAAUGGUCAGGAUUACCCACUCUGGAAAAUUCACAGAAGAAUGCCACAAGAACCAAGAAAACUAAGUUUGCCCUCAAAUGGUGAAACUUAUGAGGACCCUGGAGUGGAGUGAAGAGGGCUAAGGCCUUCUUGCCAACUGUUUAUCUGGGUUAUACAGGUGGAAGACACUGUAGGCAAAUGGGGGCACUUGUCUGUUGGCUGCAGUGUCUUCUUUCCAGGACUUACAAAAGCCUUUCUGACUUUGGGUUCCCAUGUGGCUGACUAAUAGCGAUUGCGAAGGGGUCAGUGGGAUUCCAUACAACUGCAAACGCCUUGAUAAAAACCCUGCCAGAUAUACACAAAACAAUCCAAGGACUUGGAGAAUAGUGGACCUUACUUCAUCAACAUAUGAUUGAUAAUCUUUGCCUGAAAAAGAUCUGGCACUAAAAUAGCAUGGGUGGUACAGAUCAGGAAGUAGGUGUUGUUAGUAAAGAAGAAAAGCUUACAUAUUGGUCAUGCAGCCUGUGCCCUUCUAGCUAGUACUGUUGUGGCCUCACCUUCAAAAGUACUAAAACUUUUCCAUAAAUGUUUGAAAAAAAAGUACUGAUUUUUAAAAAAAUAUUUUACAAAGAAGUUACCUGGUCUUGUCUACCUCACAGCAAAGUAUCACAGGAAUUCCCAGAAAUAAACUUAGCAAAAUUUUGGAUCCAGUGUUUAUCAUUUCCAGAGCAGAAGCAACCGUAUCUCUAUAUCCGUUUGGAAGGUGACAUAACAGCAUGUUGGACUUGAUAUAAAAAAUUUUGGAAAACCCUAGAACUGUGCAACUCUGUAGCCUUAAAAGACUAAGAGCUAAAUUCUGUUCAAAGUUACAUUGGUGUAAAUAGGAAACAAAUCUUCUGAAGUCAGUAGAGUUAUUUCAGAUUUGCUUUUACAUGUUUAAUUAAUUAAACCUACCCAGUAAGACUCUUACCUAACUAUCCAGUUCCUAUUUUCUUUUAAUUUUAUUAUAGCACUCAUUAAACAAUAUACCAUGUAGGUAGUGUUCCUGAAGGUUUGUCAAGUUCCACAUUUCACAAAUUAGGAAUAUUUUUAACAUGAUGCCCUGGCCAUUAAUAAGUGUUUAAAAUCUAUUAUAAAAAUAUAUCUACAUUUCAAGCAGGCACCUGUCUCUAAAAUGUUCAGUGGUCGUGUUGUAUAGUCAGAUACUUAGCAAAUACUUAGUUCCCCUUUGGUUUUCAUUAAACGGUAUUUUGAAAGGAA